rnacentral:rRNA from 1 species
CCCUUAGAUGUUCUGGGCCGCACGCGCGCUACACUGACGAAUGCAACGAGCUUAUAACCUUGGCCGAAAGGUCUGGGUAAUCUCCAAAUUUCGUCGUGAUGGGGAUAGAUUAUUGCAAUUAUUAAUCUUCAACGAGGUAUGCCUAGUAAGCGCAAGUCAUCAGCUUGCGUUGAUUACGUCCCUGCCCUUUGUACACACCGCCCGUCGCUCCUACCGAUUGAAUGGUCCGGUGAAGCGUUCGGACCGUGGCCUUUGGACGGUUCGCCGUCUGUUGGCUGCGGGAAGUUCGUUAAACCUUAUCAUUUAGAGGAAGGAGAAGUCGUAACA